AAGUCGUAACAAGGUUUCCGUAGGUGAACCUGCGGAAGGAUCAUUAACACGUAUCCAAACGUAAAAAACCCCCCCCGUGAACAUUCAAUCCUGCUCUUGUAACCCGCGUAGUUCGCAAUCUCUGGUAAAUCAUAGCCCGGAAAGUAGUUUUGAUUCAGAGACCUCUGGCUACGUGAGAACAUUGGAACAGUUACAAUCGAGCGGUAGUUUCAUAGGCAUUGUUUCCCCAAGCAGUUAGUGUCUGUACACUCGGGCAGGAGCUAUGCCAAAGGGUCCCCAUGCCCCCUUAUAACCCCACAGUUUCAUGUGAAGCUCGGUGUAAUACAUUGGGUAAAAAAACCGAACAACUGUUAACAAUGGAUAUCUUGGUUCUC
rnacentral:misc_RNA from 1 species